UUGAACGCUGGCGGCAUGCCUUACACAUGCAAGUCGAACGGUAGAGGGGCAACCCUUGAGAGUGGCGAACGGGUGAGUAAUGCAUCGGAACGUGCCCAGUCGUGGGGGAUAACGCAGCGAAAGCUGUGCUAAUACCGCAUGUGAUCUGUAGGAUGAAAGCAGGGGACCGCAAGGCCUUGUGCGAUUGGAGCGGCCGAUGUCAGAUUAGCUAGUUGGUAGGGUAAAAGCCUU
rnacentral:rRNA from 1 species